GACGUACCGUCCAAACGUUAUUCGGAAUCACUGGGCUUAAAGGGUGCGUAGGCGGCUUGAUAAGUUGGGUGUGAAAUCCCACAGCUUAACUGUGGAAUAGCGCCCAAUACUGUCGAGCUUGAGGAAGACAGAGGUGUGCGGAACUUAGGGUGGAGCGGUGAAAUGCGUUGAUAUCCUAGGGAACACCAGUAGCGAAAGCGGCACACUGGGUCUUAUCUGACGCUGAUGCACGAAAGCUAGGGGAGCGAACGGG
rnacentral:rRNA from 1 species